rnacentral:rRNA from 1 species
GUCCACGCCGUAAACUAUGAUUACUCGAUAUUGGCGAUAUACGGUCAGUGUCUAAGCGAAAGUGAUAAGUAAUCCACCUGGGGAGUACGGUCGCAAGAUUGAAACUCAAAGGAAUUGACGGGGGCCCGCACAAGCGGUGGAGCAUGUGGUUUAAUUCGAUUAUACGCGAGGAACCUUACCAGGACUUUAAUGCAUUUUUACAGAUUGAGAAAUCAGUCGUUCUUCGGACAAUUUGCAAGGUGCUGCAUGGCUGUCGU